GCUCCGUUGGUCUAGCGGUCAGGACACAUGACUUUCUCUCAUGUAACACCGGUUCAAAUCCGGUACGGAGUG
rfam:Clostridium sp. CAG:253 genomic scaffold, scf246